CCCGGGUCUUGUACACACCGCCCGUCACACCAUGGGAGCGGGUUCACCAGAAGUAGCUAGCCUAACCGCAAGGGGGGCGGUUACCACGGUGAGAGUUCGUGACUGGGGUG
rnacentral:rRNA from 1 species